rnacentral:rRNA from 1 species
CGGACGGGUGAGUAACACGUGGAUAACCUACCUAUAAGACUGGGAUAACUUCGGGAAACCGGAGCUAAUACCGGAUAAUAUUUUGAACCGCAUGGUUCAAAAGUGAAAGACGGUCUUGCUGUCACUUAUAGAUGGAUCCGCGCUGCAUUAGCUAGUCGGUAAGGUAACGGCUUACCAAGGCAACGAUGCAUAGCCGACCUGAGAGGGUGAUCGGCCACACUGGAACUGAGACACGGUCCAG